rnacentral:rRNA from 1 species
AUAUAAAUUAUUAUUAUUAAGAUUUAAAGUUAGAUUUUAUUUAAAAUAAAUAAUUUUGAGUUUUAUUAUUAUUUAAGAAAAAAGGGUUAUUAUUAUAGUUAAUUAGUAUUGUGAAAGAAAUUUUUUAUAUUUAAGAAGAAAAUUUUAGUAAUUGUACCUUGUGUAUCAGGGUUGAUUAAUUAUUGAUUAAAAAUUUAAUGGUUUCGAAUUUAGAAGAGUUAAUAGUUUAUUUAUUUUAUUGUAGAAUAAAUAUUUAUAAUAAAUUAUUAGUAAUGAAAUGUUAUUCGUUUUUGAAUAUAUCUAGUUUUUAAAGAAAUUAAUUUAAUUGAGUUUUUAUGUAAUAUUAAGUUUAAUACUAAGUUUAAUAUUUUUAAGAGGUUAUAUUUUUAGGGAUAAGCUUAAAGAUAGAGUUUUAUAAAUUUAUGGGUUUUGUAUAAAGUGUAGGAUUAAAAUUUUUCAUUAUUAAUAAAAUGUUAUAAUUAAUUAUAUGUUGGUAUGAUUUAUAUAAAUUUUAAAUUUUUUAUUUAAAUUUUAGUUUAAAUUUUAAAAAUUAAGUAAUAAUGAUUAAAUUAGUAUAAUAAUUUGUAAGUUUAAAUUGAUAAAUUAGUUUAAUUGAAGGAAUUCGGCAAAGGGUUUUCCACCUGUUUAUUAAAAACAUGGCCUAUAGAAAAUAAUUUUAGGUCUGACCUGCCCACUGAAAAUUUGAAUGGCCGCGGUAUUUUGACCGUGCAAAGGUAGCAUAAUCAUUAGUUUUUUAAUUGAAAGCUGGAAUGAAGGGUUGAAUGAGAAAAUUUCUGUCUUUAAUUUAAUUAUAGAAUUUUAUUUUUAAGUUAAAAAGCUUAAAUAUUUUUAAAAGACGAGAAGACCCUUUAGAGUUUAAUAUUUAUUGUUUAUUUAUUUUUUGGUAUUUAAAUUUAAUUUAAUAAUAAAUAUUUGAUUGGGGUGAUUGAAAAAUUAAAUUAACUUUUUUUUUAUUGAAACAAUAAUUUUUGAGUUUUUGAUCCAUUAAAAUGAUUAUAAGAAAAAAUUACCUAAGGGAUAACAGCGUAAUUUUUUUAGAGAGUUCUUAUCGAAAAAAAAGUUUGCGACCUCGAUGUUGGAUUAAAAUUUAAAUUUGGUGUAGAAGCUGAAUUUUUUAGUCUGUUCGACUAUUGAAAUUUUACAUGAUCUGAGUUUAAACCGGUGUGAGCCAGGUUGGUUUCUAUCUUUAAAUAAAAUAAGUGUUUUAGUACGAAAGGACCAAACAUUUAAUUAAAAAUUUUUUAAGGUUGAAUUAUAAU